rnacentral:rRNA from 1 species
UACGAAGGGGGCUAGCGUUGCUCGGAUUGACUGGGCGUAAAGGGCGCGUAGGCGGUUCGUACAGUCAGACGUGAAAUUCCUGGGCUCAACCUGGGGGCUGCGUUUGAUACGUGCGGACUUGAGUGCGGAAGAGGGUCGUGGAAUUCCCAGUGUAGAGGUGAAAUUCGUAGAUAUGGGGAGGAACACCGGUGGCGAAGGCGGCCAUCUGGACGGAUACUGACGCUGAGAUACGAAAGUGUGGGGAUCAAACAGGG